rnacentral:lncRNA from 1 species
AUAUGUACGAAAGAGAGAAAUCAUAUAUUGGAUAGACUUUUGGAUUACAAUAGGGGAUAUUACAGGAGGAACAUCAUCCAAAUGUGAUGCAUAAUGUAAAUAUUCUCUUGACAACAAAACUUAAAUUGAAACUAUCCAUCAACAUCCCUACAACUUAACAAAAACUUAAUCGAGCAACAUGAUUCAAGAGGAACAACAUCCCUGCUAACUUAACUAAAACUAAAAGCAUCUGUCAUCGUCAUCAUGAACCAGAACACCAUCACCAUCAUUGAAGUAUAAUUGCCUCAUCCAUAUAUCUUCUGAAUCUACAAAGUAAAUAAGAAAAUGAAUUGUUAAUACACAAUGCAUUGAGAUUACACAAGUAGUGAUAGAGGCAUGAUGUUUCACAUACAAAUGUUAAACAGAAUGCAAUCUUUGUUUUUUCUGAAUUACCAAGAAUAUUAUAGGUUUUGCGACUACGUACCAAAUCUUCAUUUUUCACAAGUGUCAUAUGAACAUGAAGUGCCCCGAAUUCAUUCGCAGUUUCAGCACCAUCAAGGUUAAAUUUAGGAUCAGAUCUUACAACUAGAGAAAGAGCUACGUACUUGUUAAAUGUAAGUGGAGACAUGAUACAAUGAAAAAUAAGGAUAAAUCCACGUAAUUGCAAUGUUUAAAUAAUCAAACCUUUUUAUUAAUGAAACGAAGUUAUAAAGAUGUAAAUGAAACUUCAUUCUAUUUUAGGAAUACAAAUAGAAACAUGGCCACUCUACAAUAAUGAUUGCACGUUGUCAUCUUUCAAGAAGUCCGGUGCAAAUAAAAGAACUACAAUAGGGGAAAGAAGUAGACGUACAGUUACCGAGCUAAAUAACAAACAUGGUGAAAACCUUUGUUUGGUCUUUCGCUUCAUAGCCUUGAAGCUGGCCUGCAUAUAUGAGUAGCAACUAAGAAUUUAUUAAAAAACCUC